GACGAACCGUGCGAACGUUAUUCGGAAUCACUGGGCUUAAAGGGUGCGUAGGCGGGCUCGUGAGUCAGGGGUGAAAUCCCACGGCCCAACCGUGGAAGUGCCUCUGAUACCGCGGGCCUGGAGGGGGAUAGGGGCGUGCGGAACUUCCGGUGGAGCGGUGAAAUGCGUAGAUAUCAGGAGGAACACCGAUUGCGAAGGCAGCUCGCUGGGACGUAACUGACGCUGAGACGCGAAAGCGUGGGGAGCAAACAGG
rnacentral:rRNA from 1 species